rnacentral:rRNA from 1 species
AUGGCUCAGGAUGAACGCGGGCGGCGUGCCUUAUACAUGCAAGUCGAACGAGUUAUGAUUAUUGAAAGGCGCUUGCAUCCUGAUUUAAUUUUGAACGAGUGGCGGACGGGUGAGUAACACGUGGGUAACCUGCCCUUAAGUGGGGGAUAACAUUUGGAAACAGAUGCUAAUACCGCAUAAAUCCAAGAACCGCAUGGUUCUUGGCUGAAAGAUGGCGUAAGCUAUCGCUUUGGAUGGACCCGCGGCGUAUUAGCUAGUUGGUGAGGUAACGGCUCACCAAGGCAAUGAUACGUAGCCGAACUGAGAGGUUGAUCGGCCACAUUGGGACUGAGACACGGCCCAAACUCCUACGGGAGGCAGCAGUAGGGAAUCUUCCACAAUGGACGCAAGUCUGAUGGAGCAACGCCGCGUGAGUGAAGAAGGCUUUCGGGUCGUAAAACUCUGUUGUUGGAGAAGAAUGGUCGGCAGAGUAACUGUGU